rnacentral:rRNA from 1 species
AAGCAGAGGGGGCUUAGUGGUGGGGUGACUGCGUACCUUUUGUAUAAUGGGUCAGCGACUUAUAUUCUGUAGCAAGGUUAACCGAAUAGGGGAGCCGGAGGGAAACCGAGUCUUAACCGGGCGUUAAGUUGCAGGGUAUAGACCCGAAACCCGGUGAUCUAGCCAUGGGCAGGUUGAAGGUUGGGUAACACUAACUGGAGGACCGAACCGACUAAUGUUGAAAAAUUAGCGGAUGACCUGUGGCUGGGGGUGAAAGGCCAAUCAAACCGGGAGAUAGCUGGUUCUCCCCGAAAGCUAUUUAGGUAGCGCCUCGUGAACUCAUCUCCGGGGGUAGAGCACUGUUUCGGCUAGGGGGCCAUCCCGGCUUACCAACCCGAUGCAAACUGCGAAUACCGGAGAAUGUUAUCACGGGAGACACACGGCGGGUGCUAACGUCCGUCGUGAAGAGGGAAACAACCCAGACCGCCAGCUAAGGUCCCAAAGUCAUGGUUAAGUGGGAAACGAUGUGGGAAGGCCCAGACAGCCAGGAUGUUGGCUUAGAAGCAGCCAUCAUUUAAAGAAAGCGUAAUAGCUCACUGGUCGAGUCGGCCUGCGCGGAAGAUGUAACGGGGCUAAACCAUG